rnacentral:tRNA from 1 species
GGGGCUGUAACUCAGUGGUAGAGUGUUCGCUUUGCAUUACCCCUAAUUCCUUCGGGAAUUGGAUAUGAUACUUAUAUGCGAAAAGCCCAGGGUUCGAUCCCCUGCCGCUCCA